rnacentral:rRNA from 1 species
AGAGUUUGAUCCUGGCUCAGAACGAACGCUGGCGGCAUGCCUAACACAUGCAAGUCGAACGAGACCUUCGGGUCUAGUGGCGCACGGGUGCGUGACGCGUGGGAAUCUGCCCUUGGGUUCGGAAUAACAGUUAGAAAUGACUGCUAAUACCGGAUAAUGUCUUCGGACCAAAGAUUUAUCGCCCAGGGAUGAGCCCGCGUAGGAUUAGCUAGUUGGUGAGGUAAAGGCUCACCAAGGCGACGAUCCUUAGCUGGUCUGAGAGGAUGAUCAGCCACACUGGGACUGAGACACGGCCCAGACUCCUACGGGAGGCAGCAGAGGGGAAUAUUGGACAAUGGGCGAAAGCCUGAUCCAGCAAUGCCGCGUGAGUGAUGAAGGCCUUAGGGUUGUAAAGCUCUUUUACCCGGGAUGAUAAUGACAGUACCGGGAGAAUAAGCCCCGGCUAACUCCGUG